AUUGAACGCUGGCGGCAGGCUUAACACAUGCAAGUCGAACGAGUGGCGGACGGGUGAGUAAUGUCUGGGAAACUGCCUGAUGGAGGGGGAUAACUACUGGAAACGGUGGCUAAUACCGCAUACUAUCGGAUGAAACCAUAUGGGAUUAGCUAGUAGGUGGGGUAAAGGCUCACCUAGGCGACGAUCUCUAUCUGGUCUGAGAGGAUGAUCAUCCACACGGGGACUGAGACACGGCCCAGACGCCUACGGGAUGCAGAAGUGGGGAAUAUUGAACAAUGGGCGCAAGCCGGAUGCCGCCAUGCCGCGUGUAUGAAGAAGGCCUUAGGGUUGUAAAGUACGUUCAGCGGGGAGGCGUUACCCGCAGAAGAAGCACCGGCGAACUCCGUGCCAGCAGCCGCGGUAAUAC
rnacentral:rRNA from 1 species